rnacentral:lncRNA from 1 species
UUGAUGUACACAUGUUCCUCUGCUAGGUGCUUUUCAUUUUUUUGAGGGCCUUCAGUCUUCUGUUCAAGUGUGCAUGGUGCUUCUAAGCCUUCUCACUUAGUUUUGAAAUUAGCAUUCUACUCAGAAUAGAUAAAUGCUGCCAACUUGCAGUUCUUUUGCUUGGCCCAGAUUCCCUUAUAGUUUGCAGGUAAUUUUCAGGGUCUUCAGUAUGAGAUUAUUUUCAUUUCCUAGUUUCAACACAGAUGGUUUUCUCUUUACUUUUGGUUCAUUUCCGUGCAUUUUGGGGAAAGGAGAUAGAUAAAUGUGCACUUUUCAGCUACCUUUCUGGACAAUAUUAGCAUUUCCCCUUUACUUCUGAAUAUCCUUUGGACUCUCCUAUAUUGGAAAAAGAGGGUGAUUUAUGACUAUUUUAAUGGAAAACAAAAAUAAAUCUAUAGACAAGUUGUUAGAUAUAUUAAGAGUUUAACAAGGUGAAUAUUAUAACAGCUAUACCUUCACCCAGCUACCCUUGCUGGGCUCUAACUCGCUGUCUCUUUCUCUUGUUAUUGUUGUUGUUUUCCCCCAUGGGUGAGUUCUUUAUGGCAGUCUCCACCAUUUCCUCAUAAUCAUUUUCCUUUUGAUUUCUAUAUUCUGACAUCCAGUUCCCAUCAUACUGCGGCAGCUGAUCUCUCAAAAUAAAUUCAUUGAUUUUUUUUUUUAUAAUUGCAGUUACAUUUUUUCUCCUUUACUUUCCUUGCACACAGGACUGUAUUUGAUGCUGUUAAUUAACCCUUCUUUAAAACUUUGUUUUUUGUUUACUUCUGUUUCUUUACUGACUGUGUACAGUAAUCAGAAAAAUCAGAAAAAGACCUGAUUUUCUCUAAAUCAGGCCUUUUUCCCUCAAGGAUCUUUGUGGCCAUUUCCCCUGGUUUUCCUUGAGGAGAAAACUAUCUCUCUACAUCUCCCUCUUAACCCAACUUCCACUCCGCUAUUUUAAUAGUCUACUGGAUGCUACGGUGAACAAUUUAAAAGACAGAAGGACUGGGUGACAAACGUGAGGGAAUUUGGACUGAUGUCUGCAUGUCUGGCUUGAGUAACAGUAGGGACAGCAGUGCUGUUUCACAUAUACAAGGAACAUGAGGGAGAAAAGGGCUCAAGAGGAUCAUUUUGAUUACAACAAACAGGAACAAUGGAAACCACCUGACACCAGUCCCAAACCACCAGUGACAUUAGUCCAACCACUUUAAGAGAGUCUGAACUAGGUAGAAAGGCAAACUGAUAGAGGCUCUCGGGAGGCCUUCUUGAGAGCACUCUCACUGCCUUGGUGAUAGGGGUCAUUUUGCAGCAUGUUGGCUGCAGAGAAGGCAACCUAAAGAAGGCAUUCAUGAAAUGCAGCCUGCUUCUUGAACGAAUCUGGAUGAAAGGCAGGAGAAUGCAUGGCAGCUGGAGGAAAGCCAGGAUGCAGGAGGGCAUUCCUUAGGGCAGUAAAGUGGACGUACAUGCGGGGUUAGAGAGCAACCCAGAAGCAGGAAGCAUGAGCCAGAGUCCAGGGUGCUUUGGAAAGAUUUAGAUAGGGGGUAGGGCCCAUCCUUCUCUGUCAUAGGAAGCAGGAUGUAAAUGGAGUUUCUCUGGUUGGCUGGAGGUUGAGGAAGUUUGCUUCCUAUGGCUUCUAUUCUCAUCUACUGAAAUGUGAGAAGAGGCAGUGGGAAUGGAAAAGCUACCAUGGGAGUGAGAGGAGAAACUCAAGAUAAAUGAAGGAAUUUCUGCAAGCAGUGUGGAAAGCUGAACUGAGGCUGGAGCCAUGCAUUUGGGAUUUUUUUAAGAAAAAGCAUCGGUGUUCUUUUGUUUUGUUUUGUUUUGUUUUUUUGAGAGAGAGAGGUCUCGCUGUGUUGCCCAGGUUGGUCUUGUACUCCUGGCUUCAAGUGGUUCUCCCACCUUGGUCUCCCAAAGUGUUGGAGUUACAGGUGUGAGCCACUGCACCCAGUCAAGUUUUCCUUCUUAAGUGAUAAGAGUGAUACUUAGAAAGAUACUCACUUGGAAGAAGAGAAAUUAAAAAUUUUAGCACUUUUUGGCCACCUAAAAUAAUUGCAUGGAAGAGUGACCAAGAAAAACGCUGAAAAAAACUUUUCUUUGGGAAAAUAUAUAUUCCUUAUAUUCCUUAAAGCAAAAAUGAAUAGAGAAAAAUUGGCACCCCUGUUGUGUUAGAAACUAUUUGAAAAAUGAUGAAUUGUAAAUAUUGUCAAUUUCAAUACUCUGGUUUUGAUUUAAAGUUUGAAAUCGAGAUUUUGUGAUGGAAUGAUUUCUUCUGUUUGUAUGGUAGUUAAAGCUUGCUUAUUACCACCAUACUAGAAACUUGGCCGUAAACAGGAAUCUAUGUGCCUGGGCAGAAACUACCCCAUAAACACGUUGUUAUUUUAAAAUCUUAAAGGAGAGAGGAUAUCAAAGUAUAUUCUUUAUCAUUUUCUCUUAGAAAAUCUGACAUUGUGUUUUUGGACUAGUAAGUAGAAUAGAUAUUUAGAUCUAUAUGCUGUGAUGUUAUCCAGUGAGUGAAACACAGGUCAACUCUACACGAAGCCUUUUUUUGUAUUCCUAUUUUGUCUUCUCCAUCUCUCCUUUCUUAUUAUAGCAUAUUUUUUUCACUCUAAGGAAAGAACAUUUAUGCAGGGCUUGCUUACCCCAACAAAGCAUAGCACAGGCAGGGCUGACACAAAAUCAACGGGAGAAGUUUGAAAAAAGAGAACUGCUGGGAUUAAAUGUUCAGUGAUUUACUUGUUGUAUUAGUCCAUUUUCAUGCUGCUGAUGAAGACAUACCCAAGACUGGGCAAUUUACAAAACAAAGAGGUUUAUUGAACUUACAAUUCCACAUGGCUGAGGAGGCCUCACAAUCAUAGUGGAAGACAAAGAGGAGCAAGUCACAUCGUAUGUGGAUGGCAGGAGGCAAAAAGAGAGCUUCUGCAGAGAAACCCCCAUUUUUAAAACCAUCAGAUCUCAUGAGACUCAUUCACUAUUAGGAGAACAGCACAGGAAAGACCCACCCCCAUAAUUAAAUCACCUCCCACCGGGUUCCUCCCACAGACAUGUGGGAAUCAUGGGAGUUACAAUUCAAGAUGAGAUUUGGGUGGGGACACAGCCAAACCAUAUCACUUGUUGAAUGCACUUGGAUUGUACGGAGUGGGGCUGAGCUGCUGAUGUGUGUGCUUCAUCCACUUUGGGGCAAUUUUCUUAUUGUAUAAACUGAAUCAUGCGCCUGUCCUCAUUUGGCUUCACGUUAGAACCAAAAGAUGAGAGAUAUGUGCCCUUUAAAUGGGCUUUUAGUCACAUUUUAUAACAUAAUAAAUCUAAUUUUCAAUGAAUAUACCAACGUAUAUAUCUAGAAUAAGCCAUUUGCUCAGGAAAACAUAUGUCAA